UGAAAAAUAUUAUGUUAAUAUUAUAUUGCUAAAAUGUUUUUUUAUUCAAAUUCCAAUUUUUGUUUCAGUUCAAUAUAUAAAGGUCUAAUUAACAUUAUACCAUGCUAAGAUUACAAAACUUUUUUGAUAUUUUAAAUACAAAGCAAAAAUGAAAUCAGAAUACACAAAACACCAAUAAUAAACAAUUCUGUACUUUAUUCAACGAUCACCUAAACAUCAUCUUGCUGUAAACAGGACAAAGGAAAAAGAAAAAAGAAUUGUGUUAGUUGACUUUACUUUUCGUCUUCAAUUGCAUUAAAAAAAACCUCAUUUAUAAGUCACUUUGGGUAAAAGCGUCUGCUAAAUGAAUUAAUGUGAAAUGUAAAUGCAUAAGGUAAAAUAAUGACUUGCUGGUAGGCGAAUGUUUCUAAUUUUUUCAUUCGUUUUAAUAUCUCUUUACUAUCUAUAAAAUAUUAAAUAGACUUCAUAUGUGUCAUUUGACAAACAGAGCCAAAACAAAUUUUUGACCACACUUCAACAAUCAACUGUAUUUAUUAACCUUCAACCAUAACAUUGCAACCACAUACAUACUUAUGUGUAGGUCAUACACGUAUAUAUUUUUUACACAUGUAUUUUUAGACAUGCGCCCCACUGGCUCCAAACAAUGCUCAAACUUUUGUGUUAGGUGUUUGUUGUUUCGUUGCUUUAUUCAAUACAGGUUGAUUUCUGAUUUGUCUUUUUAGAACAACUAGAUAGAGCUCAUCAAGACAUUUAAUUUGAUAUAUAGAACUCAUUUUCGCCCAAAUGCCAUUUACGCCCCGCAGGUUCCAAGCUCUCUAUGAAGUAGUUUGAUUAAAAAAAAAUUUAUGAUUAGCUAAAUAAAAUUGGUAAUACUUAUGUUUCAGCUUAAGUUCUUCACAUGUUUAUUCAGUCCAAUUUGAUAGGAGGCGCUGUCUCAAAAAAUGAGGGGUCUGAGAAUGAGGGACUCAGGGUGGGGGACUGUAGUUGCAUGCUCUGGCUUUAUAAUAUUGCAUAGUUCCCAAAAUAACCAUCUGCACACUAAAGCUUUUUUACUAUGAAAGUUUUACGAAAUUAAGGAAAAUAUAUUAAGCAUACUAAUUUGAUCAUAAUUAAUAGUUAAUGUUCUUGUAACUUUAAAUUAUUGUUUUUUACCAUUUUAAAUUAUUCUAGAUGUAGCAGAAAGCACUAUACACAUUUAACAUUUUGUGCGCGCGUGCAUGUGUGUGAAAAUUACAGUAGUAUCCCAGCUAGCAUGUAUAAUCGGCCCGAGCUCGGCUGCCCUGCGGCAGGUGCGGCUCAGACUCGGCAUCGGCGUGUGUUAACCGAGCCGAUUGUGCCCCCCAGCUCGCUCUGGCACAUUCAUUUUUGUUCUGGCUGUAAGCACUGGGCCGAUUCAUGUUCACCGUAACUGGUAACCCAGCUCUGGCUGUAUGAUCUGGACCACUUUUGGAAAUGACUCGGCUUAUGUUAAAUCAAGGAUGGUUUUAAUGGAUGCCAUUCAAUGUAGGCGACUUUCUUUAACACAAAUGUAGAUUUUUAACUCCAACCGUUUUAGUCUGUCCAUAACAAAAGACAGUAAAAAACAAAACAUGCACAGACAAAUCCAAAUUAAACCCUGCUGCUCGUUGAUGUCCUAAGACACGAAACGAUCGGUUUCUGUGAGAAACCGAACUGUAUUAUAUAAUUUAUACCUCUAAUACGGCGCCUUCUUCUUCUUUUGAGUUUUAAUGGCGGGUUGCGAAGCAACGUCAUAGUUGCAUACUGCCAUCUACUGUAUCGGAUGCACGGCUUGAGGGCUAUACAGGGACACCCGAAACCGUAGGUGGCGGUAUGCACCUAUGAAGUUGCUUCGCAACCCGCCAUUAAAACUAAAGAAGAAGGUGCUGUGCACGGGCUCAUUUGACUACGCAUAGUACUGUAUUAGAGGUAAAAAAAUUAUAUAAAUACUGUUCGGCUUCUCGCACAAACCGAUCGUUUCGUUUCUUAGGAUAUCAAUGUGUCGUCACGAGCGGCAGGGUUUAAUUUGGAUUUGUCUGUGCAUGUUUUUACUGUCUGAGAUUUUGUUACUAUUCACAUGCAUACAGACUGAAACGGUUGGAGUUUCUGCAUUUGUGUUGUACUGAAGAAACAAAAUCACAUACAUCUUGGAUGACCUCGGGGUAAGCUGAUAAAUAUAAAAAAUUCAUUUUAAGAUGAAUCCCGUACGUUGGCGGCUGUUUUAAACUGGGUGCUCGGCUCAGACCCUUUUGCCAGUAUGAAGCCGAUUUCAACGGUAACUGCAGAAAGCGUCAGCACGCUCAGCUCAUCACUGGAGUAACGUCUGUACAACGGGUGAGAUAAAACUCAACGCCUGACUGAAUCAUCCAUUCCCUUUUCGAUCCUACGCCAUACGUUAAACUUGAGGUAAUCUUGCUUUUGCUGUUCUAAAAUAAACACUGCUCUUAGCACACCCCACCCUUACAUGGCACACAAGUAUAUGACACACAACACAGGUCUUCUCAGGAGGCUGUGCCUACAGCAAUAGGCUUUACGCCCAGCUGCACUACUUCCUGAACUUCAGCCAGCUCCUUGUUUCCUGUCUGCCAUUAUUGGACAAACUGAUUAAUCCAGGUGUGCCUCAGCUUAGUAGUCACAACAACAAUAAUCAGACACACCUGGAUUUAUCAGUUUGUCCAGUAAUGGCAGACAGGAAACAAGGAGCUGGCUGAAAUUCAGGAAGUAGUGCAGCUGGGCAUAAAGCCUAUUGCUAAGGAGAUCCUCAUCCAGCUCGAUUUUAUUAGAGAGCAGCAGUUGCAGACUUCACCCCAGACCCAACACAUUUUGGGCUCCCACUUUCAACUAUUGAGGAGCUACAAUGUUUGUAGGAGACAUUAAAUAAUCCAGAUGAGAAGAAGAAUUUGGUGAGACUGUUUUUCCUGGAAUGGUCGGAGACAAGACUCUUAAAGACACCGUGGGGUGGGUCCUGAAAAAAACAAUAAACUCUUUGUGGCGAGACUCAUCAAUUGAAGUGGGGUCAACUGAAGCCUGCAUUCAAAGGGCUCACUUUGAAAAGUGUGGUUUUGGAUGCAGUCCGCCGGAAUGCCCUGACCAAAGAUAACACAGAAAAGGAGAUAGAGCUCCUCAUCACCAGGUGGUCGGUGCUAGCAUAUGACAGGGAUGGUGGCCAAAUCCAGACAAUAGACAGACAAUGAAUUAAAAUGUUUUAAAUUUAAAAAUGUUGAUUUUUGGAAAAUUCGUAUUUGAACUGAUUGUGUGUGUGUGUGUGCACCUGGUAAUUAUCACGUUGUGUCCCCACAAAGAUAGGAAUACUAGUAUUUUUGUGACCUUGUGUCCCCAUGAGGAAACAAGCUUAUAAAUCAAACAAAAUGAUGUUUCUUGUAAAUGUGAAGUAGGAGAAGGGUUUCUGUGAUGGUUGGGUUUAGGGAAUGGGGUAGGUAAGGGGAAUAAAAUAUACAGUUUGUAUGGUAUAAAAUGCAUUACGUCUAUGGAAUGUCCCCACAAAACAUGGAAACCUGUUUGUGUGUACGAGAGAGAGAGAAUGUGUGUUCAAGUGAAUAAAAAAUGCAUUAAACGUGAAAUCCUU